ACUCCACCCUGCCGUCUUCCUAUCUGCGACUUCAACCGUCCCUUUCCUCCUUCGUUCUUUCCGUUUCACCUACUAAAGUUUUAAUGCAUAUAAUUCAAAUUAAUAUUCGUCAUUCCUCCACACCGUCUCAUAGCCUGCCCUGUAUUCCAUCUCCAUAGUAACGACUUAUUGUAUAACGGAAAUUCAUGUCGUUCGAUGCUCUCUCUUUUAAUUCACGACCCACUGCUCAGAUUUUACUUUGUCUUACACUUCUUUUCUGACUAACAUGACGAGAGCAGACAAGUGAUGGCGAGAGGAAAAACAAAAAGAGAGAGAUAAGAACAGGAACAAGAAGAGUGAUGAUUUCGAUGAUCUGCCAAUUUCUUUUGGUUUCAUACUCAAUCCAAACAGCUCAUCAAUCACUUUUGUUUAUUUCAUUUCAUAUUUGCUUUGUGAUUUGCUAACAAUUUGUGUUUCUUCUGUAUAUGUUAAUGCUAGCUUGGUUUGCAACAGGAACUUCUUUUACCCGGAUUGCAGAUACAUCAACGAGAGACGACGCAGACUUGCAACAGUGGGUUCUUCUUUCUACGUUUUUGACCUCUCUAAUUACUUUGUUGUAGAAAAAUUGAUAUCCAUAUAUAUAUUAGCAAGGGCCAGUAUGUUGCAUCGUUAGCAAGGGCUCUCAUCUAUUGCCAUGACAAGUAUGUGAUUCGAUAUAAAACCAGAAAAUUUGUUAAUUGGUGCUCAUGUUUAAGCUUUACCCACCCUAAUGUUUUUUUUUUUAUAAGCGAGUAAUUGGAAUGUUGAGAAACCCUUCUCACCUAAUUAAGAUUGCCUUUGAUGUUUUAAUUCUUAUAUUAGCUUUUUUGGUUUUUGUGUGUUAAAUAUUCUGACUGCAAGUGUUAGAGUGGAAGACUCAAAAUGAGAUUGGCAAGCUAGUAACAGACUAAUACUUGAUACAGAAGAUCUUGGUGCAAUGGCUAAAGAUGUGCUUAAGAAUGUUCCACAUGUCUGCUUCUAAUUUCUAAACCUCACACAAAAAGGAUUCUGUUUAACCUCUUGGUUUCUGAUAAGGUCAUGCUCGAUGCUUCGAAACAAACACGAUGCUUGCAGAUCUUUCGUUCUCUUCAAAGAGGUUAACCAAGGUUCUCACAACUUUGAAGAUAUUAGCUCUGUUAUAGGAAGUGAUUCAAGAAGAGAGCGAAAAGAUUUACGUUAUGCUCGAUGGAAUAAUGCAGAGCCUCAGUGAAAGUAGGGUCCACCUCGAUGAAUGGUGAUGUUUCGGCUUUCCUCACAAGCAUGACCAAUGUUCAGAAAGCGAAGCUCUCAAAGAACCAGCUCAGGUUUGAUCUCUCCAAGCUGAAGUUGCCAGAGUGAGCCGCGUCCAUUGAUCUAAGUUCAAAUCAAGUGACGGGGUCGCUUUCAAGCCUGUUAAACAAUAAGACAAGCAGCUUCUUAGAAGAGGUCCAUCUCACCAACAACCAAAUCUCAGGGAGGAUCCCUGAUUUCACAGAAAGCUUGAACCUGAACGUAACAUCGGGAGCAACAAAAUCAGUGGACAAAUCCCAAGUUCAAUACCAAACCUUGCUGAACUUGAGACUGGACAUCUCAAGAAAUCACUUUUUUUUUUUUUUUUUNACUCAGGAGUGAUCCUAAAGGUUUCCUAGGCCCAAAGACUAAUCUCCUAAAGCCGAGAGAAACCAUGUUAAAAUUCGAACCCCCGUGGCCAAUGCUACUCGAACCCAGGUGGCGGGACUUUUCUCCCUUUAUCACAUUACAGGAGGCAUACCUCAAGCCCUGGGACAGCUAGGCAGCUCAAUUGGCUCGACAUCUCAGUCAAUGCACUUACAAUUA